AUGGAUUAAUGUUAAAGGAUGAAUGAAUCUGCUUACAGAAGUGUAUAAGGUUCAGGGGUUGUUUCAGACCUGUGGAAUGUACUUGACGCAUGUCAUGGCAACCUGAAUCGAGCUAUACAACAACAAUAAACCAUAAAGAAAGAGUCAGAUUAGCAUUAAAAGAGAGUUGGGCAAAAGGCAGGGAGGGGAUAAUAGAGCAUACUUGAAGAUGGUAAUGAGCCAGAGCCAAGACUGUGAAGGUAAAGCAAUGAAGAAACAGAUAGCUGCAAAACCCCAGACAAGAACCACAAGACCUGUAGCAAAUCUGGAUACUUUCUGAGGUCCACGCUGAGAGCAUUAUUAAGUCAAAUAUAAACAAACCAUCAGAUAUAGAGAGAAACAAAGCAGACAUUCCAAAAGAAAAAAAAAAAAGAAGCAAAC